CCAGCCCGCUCAGAAACUACAAGGAAUUGACGGGGCCGCACAAGCGGUGGAGUAUGUGGUUUAAUUCGAUGCAACGCGAAGAACCUUACCUGGUCUUGACAUCCCGGAGACCCUUAGGAAACUAGGGGGUGCUUCCAUCUGGAAGAAUCUGGAGACAGGUGCUGCAUGGCUGUCGUCAGCUCGUGUCGUGAGAUGUUGGGUUAAGUCCCGCAACGAGCGCAACCCUUGCCUUUAGUUGCCAGCAGUUCGGCUGGGCACUCUAAAGGGACUGCCGGUGUUAAACCGGAGGAAGGUGGGGAUGACGUCAAGUCCUCAUGGCCUUUAUGACCAGGGCUACACACGUACUACAAUGGCCGAUACAAAGGGCAGCGACACUGCGAGGUGAAGCCAAUCCCGUAAAAUCGGUCUCAGUCCGGAUUGGAGUCUGCAACUCGACUCCAUGAAGUUGGAAUCGCUAGUAAUCGUGGAUCAGCAUGCCACGGUGAAUACGUUCCCGGGCCUU
rnacentral:rRNA from 1 species